GUAGGUGGCAAGCGUUGUCCGGAAUUAUUGGGCGUAAAGCGCGCGCAGGUGGUUCUUUAAGUCUGAUGUGAAAGCCCCCGGCUCAACCGGGGAGGGUCAUUGGAAACUGGGGAACUUGAGUGCAGGAGAGGAAAGUGGAAUUCCACGUGUAGCGGUGAAAUGCGUAGAUAUGUGGAGGAACACCAGUGGCGAAGGCGACUUUCUGGCCUGUAUCUGACACUGAGGCGCGAAAGCGUGGGGAGCAAACAGGGAUUAGAUACCCUGGUAGUCCACGCCGUAAACGAUGAGUGCUAAGCGUUGGGGGGGUUUCCGCCCCCUCAGUGCUGCAGCUAACGCAUUAAGCACUCCGCCUGGGAGUACGGUCGCAAGACUG
rnacentral:rRNA from 1 species